rnacentral:rRNA from 1 species
AACGAACGCUGGCGGCAGGCCUAACACAUGCAAGUCGAGCGCCCUUUCGGGGGAGCGGCGGACGGGUGAGUAACGCGUGGGAAUAUGCCCUUCUCUACGGAAUAGCCUCGGGAAACUGAGAGUAAUACCGUAUACGCCCUACGGGGGAAAGAUUUAUCGGGGAAGGAUUAGCCCGCGUUGGAUUAGGUAGUUGGUGGGGUAAUGGCCUACCAAGCCGACGAUCCAUAGCUGGUUUGAGAGGAUGAUCAGCCACACUGGGACUGAGACACGGCCCAGACCCCUACGGGAGGCAGCAGUGGGGAAUCUUAGACAAUGGGGGCAACCCUGAUCUAGCCAUGCCGCGUGAGUGAUGAAGGCCUUAGGGUUGUAAAGCUCUUUCAGCUGGGAAGAUAAUGACGUACCAGCAGA